rnacentral:tRNA from 1 species
GGCAAGGUGGCCGAGUAGGCGGCGGGUUGUAGCCCCGAUUACGGGGGUUAGUCCCCCUUUUGUCA